UGCGAAUUCCGCAUCCACAUGACACAUGGACAUUGGUUAUUGAUAUUCAUUAUUGACGUUGAUAUUGAUUAUUGAUAUUCAUUUCGCACAGCUGCUGCUUCUUCACUUCGGCUUCGAUUACUUGAAAGUUCAAGAAGUCGGGGCCCAGCUUGAUUUGCGAUGUGUUUACCGGUGCGGAGACAUCCCACAACGAUUAACUAUCUUGCAGCGUUGCCGGCGGUGUAGAUCGCGUGUUUAUGGUAAUUCCAGAUAUUAAACUAAUUCAGCUUAAGGUCAAUUCUUCCGAAAUCUCUGUUGGAAUCUCUGCUGGAAUCCCUUCUGUAGCCGCCUCGCUCCCACGCGCUCCAAUAGUGGCGUGCGUCUCUUCUGAUGCUGCUGCUGCUGCUCCCAGGCGAGGUUGCGCGCCCGGGAUCCCACGAGCCACGCUCGCAUUGUGCACGGAGCGCGUUUGAUUGGCGUCUCGUUUCCCCCACAGCAGCUAUGCCGAAGGGCGGGAGAUGUGGGGCCGAUAUCACCGGACAGGCGAGACUGCGAGCAGCGGUCGAACGAGCGACAUCAGCACAGCUGUGCAUGGCGCACACCGAGGCGCCGUGGGCAGAGCGAGCAGCGCCGCCCGGCUCCGCUGGGCUCUCAUCACCGACCACAACGCCGCCCGGCUCCGCUGGGCUCUCAUCACCGACCACAACGCCGCCCGGCUCCGCUGGGCUCUCAUCACCAACCACAACGCCGCCUCCUCCACUUCCUCUUCCAGGCGCGCGGCUCCGGUGCAGGCGAGGGCCCCAGCAGCAGCAGCAGCAUCCGGCGAGCAGACAUUAAAGCGUACAAGUUGGCACGCGGCAUAAAUAAACAUAAGUUUAAAUAAUCCACUCCUAUUGCUUAGCGUAUUGAGAAGCAGUUGGUGGUGCGUUCAGAACGCCUUCACUGGAGCUCAGCAACUUGACAGCAGCAUCAGAAAGAGGAGGAGACGGCGGAACGGCAUCAUUGGUCGCCUCCACUCCGUCCCCAGCCAGGGGGCCGUAAAUAAACCACGAGCCCCGGCCACGCCACAUUCGAGUGCGGUCGACAGGGAGGAGAUUGCGCUGGCUCGGACGUUCACGUGGGAAGGUGGACAGCGCUGCAAAGUGGGGAUGAUGGACGAUGGUUCAGAGUAAUAACGAAGCGGUAGCCAAAGAGAUGGAACCACCAGCGUCCGUUAGGAAACCCGCCAAGCAGAGAGCGGGAGCGAUGAGAACCAGAUACAAAAACAUCUCAAUAUAUAGGGAACCGCAGAGCUUGAGGAGUUGAAAGCGCCGGCUCAUCGCGUGGCUGCAUCCUCUCCCGCUCGUCUGUGGCUCCUCUGAGUCGCCCUGCCUCUGUGUCACAGCCAUGAGUGGACACGGUGGAGCGGCGGCGGCGCAGAGUCACAAGUUGAUGUUAUCAUCAUCAUUCCUCUUCAUCUCACCACCCGAAAGCAUUGUCAUGAUGACAGAGCCGCUCGUGUUGGUUGGCAUUGCGGAUGACGUAGCGGGGAUGGCACCACGGCGCUGGCGGCGGCUGUCGCGUUGGUGACGUCACAAGGCCCACACUCGGAGCGCGGCGCAACGGGAGGCGACUGCGAAGCGGUCACGUGGCCGCCGAAGGGCUUUCACGCGAGGCCAACUCGACCCUCCAGUGAGGUCAUCACCGCUGAUGGUCUUCGUCACAAACAACUCAACACACUCGUCAAGAACACUUCCUAAAAACA